rnacentral:rRNA from 1 species
AAAUUGAAGAGUUUGAUCAUGGCUCAGAUUGAACGCUGGCGGCAGGCCUAACACAUGCAAGUCGAACGGUAGCACAGAGAGCUUGCUCUCGGGUGACGAGUGGCGGACGGGUGAGUAAUGUCUGGGAAACUGCCUGAUGGAGGGGGAUAACUACUGGAAACGGUGGCUAAUACCGCAUAACGUCGCAAGACCAAAGAGGGGGACCUUCGGGCCUCUUGCCAUCAGAUGUGCCCAGAUGGGAUUAGCUAGUUGGUGAGGUAACGGCUCACCAAGGCGACGAUCCCUAGCUGGUCUGAGAGGAUG